CUUAGUAGCGGCGAGUGAAGCGGCAAAAGCUCAAAUUUGAAAUCUGGCUCUUUCAGAGUCCGAGUUGUAAUUUGAAGAAGGUAUCUUUGGGUCUGGCUCUUGUCUAUGUUUCUUGGAACAGAACGUCACAGAGGGUGAGAAUCCCGUGCGAUGAGAUGAUCCAGGCCUAUGUAAAGUUCCUUCGAAGAGUCGAGUUGUUUGGGAAUGCAGCUCUAAGUGGGUGGUAAAUUCCAUCUAAAGCUAAAUAUUGGCGAGAGACCGAUAGCGAACAAGUACAGUGAUGGAAAGAUGAAAAGAACUUUGAAAAGAGAGUGAAAAAGUACGUGAAAUUGUUGAAAGGGAAGGGCUUGAGAUCAGACUUGGUAUUUUGUAUGUUACUUCUUCGGGGGUGGCCUCUACAGUUUAUCGGGCCAGCAUCAGUUUGGGCGGUAGGAGAAUUGCGUUGGAAUGUGGCACGGCUUCGGUUGUGUGUUAUAGCCUUCGUCGAUACUGCCAGCCUAGACUGAGGACUGCGGUUUAUACCUAGGAUGUUGGCAUAAUGAUCUUAAGUCGCCCGUCUUG
rnacentral:rRNA from 1 species